AGCGGCGUAAGGGGCAGUAAUACCUGGGAACGUACCCUGAGGUCGGGGAUAGCUGCUAGAAAUGGCGAGUAAUACCCGAUGAUCUCGAGAGAGCAAAGGCUUGCCGCCUUCGGAGCGGCCCAGGCGAUAUUAGCUAGUUGGUGAGGUAAUAGCUUACCAAGGCAUAGAUGUCUAGCGGGUGUGAGAGCACGACCCGCGCCACUGGCACUGAGACACUGGCCAGACACCUACGGGUGGCUGCAGUCGAGAAUCUUCGGCAAUGAGCGCAAGCUUGACCGAGCGACGCCGCGUGCGGGAUGAAGGCCUUCGGGUUGUAAACCGCUUUGGUCCGAGAGAAAGGGUAAAACUUGAUCGAUCGGAGGAACAAGGACGGGCUAAGUUCGUGCCAGCAGCCGCGGUAAGACGAACCGUCCAAACGUUAUUCGGAAUCACUGGGCUUAAAGGGCGCGUAGGCGGCCGAGCGGGUCGUGGGUGAAAUCCUCCAGCUUAACUGGAGAACUGCUUACGAUACCACUGCGGCUCGAGGAAGGAAGGGGCAAUCGGAACUGUCGGUGGAGCGGUGAAAUGCGUUGAUAUCGACAGGAACGCCGGUGGCGAAAGCGGAUUGCUGGUCCUUUUCUGACGCUGAGGCGCGAAAGCCAGGGGAGCAAACGGGAUUAGAUACCCCGGUAGUCCUGGCCUUAAACGAUGAGAACUAGG
rnacentral:rRNA from 1 species